rnacentral:rRNA from 1 species
AUUGAACGCUGGCGGCAUGCCUUACACAUGCAAGUCGAACGGCAGCAUGGAAGAGCUUGCUCUUCUGAUGGCGAGUGGCGAACGGGUGAGUAAAGCAUCGGAACGUACCGUGUAGUGGGGGAUAACGUAGCGAAAGUUACGCUAAUACCGCAUACGCACUGAGGUGGAAAGCAGGGGAUCGCAAGACCUUGCGCUAUACGAGAGGCCGAUGUCAGAUUAGCGAGUUGGUAGGGUAAAGGCCGACCAAGGCGACGAUCUGUGGCGGGUCUGAGAGGAUGAUCCGCCACACUGGGACUGAGACACGGCCCAGACUCCUACGGGAGGCAGCAGUGGGGAAUUUUGGACAAUGGGGGAAACCCUGAUCCAGCCAUGCCGCGUGAGUGAAGAAGGCCUUCGGGUUGUAAAGCUCUUUCGGCUGGGAAGAAAUCGCACAGGCUAAUACUCUGUGUGGAUGACGGUACCAGCAUAAGAAGCACCGGCUAACUACGUGCCAGCCGCCGCCGUAA